rnacentral:rRNA from 1 species
UACGUAGGGGGGCUAGCGUUGUCCGGAUUUAUUGGGCGUAAAGAGCGUGUAGGCGGCCAGGUAGGUCUGCUGUGAAACUCGAGGCUCAACCCUCGAGACGUCGGCGGAAACCAUCUGGCUAGAGUCCGGAAGAGGAGAGUGGAAUUCCUCGGGUGUAGGCGGUGAAAUGCGCAGAUAUCAGGAAGAACACCCGUGGCGAAGGCGGCUCUCUGGGAGCGGUACGUGACGCUGAGACGCGAAGCGUGG